GGACUCCUCUCCAUCGUUCCUGCUUUGCCAGUCUGCUUCUGUUGUCUCCGCGGAUUGUUGGUCUGGGGAGAAAGGAUAUCGCGAGUGUUGGAGUUUUGGUGAGAGUUUGUGGAAGAUGGCGCCUGUUGUGACAGGGAAGUUUGGGGAGCGCCCUCAACCACAGCGCCUAACAAGAGAAGCGAUGAGGAAUUACCUGAAGGAGCGAGGAGACCAAACUGUCCUGAUCCUGCAUGCAAAAGUUGCCCAGAAAUCUUAUGGCAAUGAAAAAAGGUUCUUCUGUCCACCCCCAUGUGUCUACCUGAUGGGCUCUGGCUGGAAGAAGAAGAGAGAGGAGAUGGAGAGAGAGGGCUGUUCAGAACAGGAGGCUCAGCCCUGUGCCUUUAUAGGGAUAGGAAACAGUGACCAGGAGAUGCAGCAGCUCAACAUAGAGGGAAAGAACUAUUGCACAGCCAAAACCUUGUACAUAUCAGACUCCGACAAGAGAAAGCACUUCAUGCUGUCGGUCAAGAUGUUCUACGGCAACAGCGCCGACAUCGGCGUCUUCCUAAGUAAGAGGAUCAAAGUAAUCUCCAAGCCCUCUAAGAAGAAACAGUCCCUGAAGAAUGCAGACCUGUGUAUUGCAUCGGGGACCAAGGUGGCCCUGUUCAACCGGUUGCGGUCACAGACGGUCAGCACGCGCUACCUACAUGUGGAGGGGGGCAACUUCCACGCCAGCUCCCAGCAAUGGGGUGCCUUCUAUGUUCACCUGUUGGAUGAUGAGGAGUCUGAAGGAGAGGAGUUCACUGUGAGAGAUGGCUACAUCCACUAUGGACAGACGGUCAAACUGGUCUGCUCUGUCACCGGGAUGGCCCUGCCACGCCUGAUCAUCCGUAAGGUGGACAAGCAGACGGCCUUGUUGGAUGCAGACGACCCCGUCUCCCAGCUGCACAAGUGUUCCUUCUACCUGAAGGACACAGAGCGCAUGUACCUGUGCCUUUCCCAAGAGAGGAUCAUACAGUUUCAAGCCACUCCAUGCCCGAAGGAACCAAACAAAGAGAUGAUCAACGACGGAGCGUCCUGGACAAUCAUCAGCACGGACAAGGCUGAGUACACCUUCUACGAGGGCAUGGGCCCUGUCCACUCGCCUGUCACCCCCGUGCCUGUAGUCGAGAGCUUACAGCUAAACGGGGGUGGGGAUGUGGCCAUGCUGGAGCUGACGGGACAGAACUUCACCUCAAACCUGAGGGUCUGGUUCGGCGACGUGGAGGCAGAAACCAUGUACAGGUGUGCGGAGAGCAUGCUGUGCGUGGUACCCGACAUCUCUGCCUUCCGCGAGGGCUGGCGCUGGGUACGCCAGCCGGUGCAGGUUCCCGUCACGCUGGUACGAAACGACGGCAUCAUCUACUCCACCACGCUCACCUUCACCUACACGCCGGAGCCCGGGCCGCGGCCACACUGCAACGCCGCCGGAGCCAUCCUACGGGCGGGCAGCGACCGCCUUCUAACGGCUAGCAGCAACAGUGCCAACAACAGCGAUGCUAACAACAGCUACGGCCCCAACAACGCAGGAGUCACAUCCUCUUCCACGGCCGCAGCCGUGGUGUCCUAACACACACACACACACACACACACUCUUAUACACACACAAUAUGCCUCGAGAGCAAAAUGUACCACAUGGUAAAAAGACUAUGAAGUAAACUGACUCUCUAAAAGUGCUGCAUAUUGAUUUGGGAUUCAAAAGAAGCUGAAAUUGAAAAUUGAUCGGACGGAAAAAGGAGGAACUCAAAGAUAGGAACGAUGUUAAAAGUUGUCAACCAGCGGAAAUAAGAGAAACUGUGUGAACUCCUUACCGCUGCCCUCUUGUGAUUCGUAAGGGACAUACCUGUCGGUUUAUGGUGUUGGAGCUGUGUAAUAGGGAGUUCCUAUUGGCUCAGUGCGCCAGUGUCUUUAACGGAGACCACAACAACUAUACAUCCACCACAUGUAUAGUACGUUAACAAAAAGGUUGAGUUUGUGCGCUUUUUUCCUCCCUCUGUUCAUUUUUUCCCUCCUUUUUUUUUUUUUUUGUCGUGUUAGUCGUCUAUGUUACUGUAAAGGGACGAAAUGUAUCGUUGUUGGAGGGAGAGCGAGGAGUGGACAUAGUGGGACACAUAUAAAAAUGUCAUGACGAUAACAUCGUUUCUGUGGACCAAGGAUCUUGUAUAAGCUUCAGUAAAGAUGUGUCAUGCACUGCUAAACAGGACGGAGCGAGAAGCAGCUUUAAAUAAAUGGAAAGCCGUGUGGGAGGAGCCUUUCUGACACGCUCUGCCUUGAAUACUCCUCAAGACGAUUGGCUGGCUGCAUUAUGGAGUAGUAAUGUUUCUCUCUCCUCUGUGUCUCUCUGUACCUACAUUUUGACUUCACUCUUUUAGCUCUGCACGCUUCGCUGCAGUCCCAUUUCUGAUCUUUUCUUUCUUGUCCCCCUCACACAUCCUUUUACACACAGUCUGUCUCCAUCUUUCUCUCUCUGUCUCUGUGUGUAAUGUUCCAUUAAUGGUAAACAGAGGUGUCAGUCAGUGGUAGUAUGCUCAGCGAUCGAAGGGUUGCUGAUGGUAGAAAUCUGUGCAGUUUGUAACAUUUUUAGCAAUAACGUGAAACAAGGGGACUGUUUUUUGAUACCAUUAUGAUUGGUUGUUUUGUUUUUUGUACAUAUUGAAAUUCCAUAUGUCAUUUAAAGGAAAAAACAAGAAAAAAGUUGCUAUAUUGGCAUAUAAAAAACAAGAAAUAAAAAAGUGACAAAAUUA